rnacentral:rRNA from 1 species
UUAGGAAUAUUGCACAAUGGGCGAAAGCCUGAUGCAGCAACGCCGCGUGAGGGACGACGGCCUUCGGGCUGUAAACCUCUUUUAGCAGGGAAGCGGUACCUGCAGAAAAAGCACCGGCUAACUACGUGCCAGCAGCCGCGGUAAUACGUAGGGUGCAAGCGUUGUCCGGAAUUAUUGGGCGUAAAGAGCUCGUAGGCGGUUUGUCGCGUCUGCUGUGAAACCCGAGGCUCAACCUCGGGCCUGCAGUGGGUACGGGCAGACUAGAGUGCGGUAGGGGAGAUUGGAAUUCCUGGUGUAGCGGUGGAAUGCGCAGAUAUCAGGAGGAACACCGAUGGCGAAGGCAGAUCUCUGGGCCGAACUGACGCUGAGGAGCGAAAGCAUGGGGAGCGAACAGGAUUAGAUACCCGAGUAGU